rnacentral:lncRNA from 1 species
UUAAAAGACUGUACAAAAGACGCACAGGGACACACAGCGCUAACUUUCAACAAUGUUUAUUAUCGAAAACCAGGUCGUACAUAUACACUUAACGAACACGAGUCACAGCCACGUGAACAGAUAAACAUUCAGAGCGAAACAUUUUUAUAAGUGAUAUGUUAAGCCAUGCGCAAAAAUUUUAGUUCUUUUUCAGAGAGGGCCAAUGACGGUUUGCUGAUACAGGAGUCCCCUUGGGCAUUAAUCUGCUCGGCUUCUGUUAUAAGUCUAGUCAGUCCGCACUUAUUUCUACCAGUAAUGGCUGUUGAUUCGAAGAGAGGGGAGCACUUAUGUUGCUUGCAACUAAGGGAGAGAAACCCAUCUGGUGCAACUUUGUCGACUUUAUUUUUGUGUUCACGCAGUCUAUCAUUAAUGCAUCUGCCCAACUGUCUGAUGUAACACUUUCCGCACGAUAAGGGUAUGCGAUAUAUAAUUGAUGUCUUACAAUCUUAACUUCUUCCUGUGUUUAACUUGGCAGCUAGGAGCACUUUCUUUCUUUUCUAAUCUUGUUUUCCUGCACAAGCUGUCCCAUCUGUUUCAAGCAACCUGUACUUAGCUAAGCUAGACAGAGAACAGUAUUCAUGCAUUAAUGAUACAAAAGUUACAAUAUUUAGAUUUGUUGAUUUUUUUAGUGUUUGUCAAUGUUAAGCUAGACAACUUUGACACAAAAGUGUUCAGCUGUGAGUAACAUUAUACGCGUGUGCCUUUGUCCACUGUAAGUUAGGUUCAAAGUGCCCAUAGAACAAAAAAUUAAGUUUCUUUAUGUUAAAUUUACCUUCGGUGAUCUAACAUGCUGGUGCUACAGUCCCAGGACAAAUAAACCGUUGUCAUAUCA